UUUUAGUUUUGGGCUCUUUGAUGCUCUUGAAAAAUGUGCACCAAGGAGGGUAUAUACCAUCUGCAAGAUAGUACCCUUUUAUGUAUUCAUGCCCAUUGAUAGUGUAGUUGCAAGCAGGAGCAUCACCACUAGCAAGCCUAGCAAACAAAUGAGGCCGUUGCAACACACUGAUAUCAUUGAGAGUGACCAGCAUACCAAAGAAGCAAUGCCAAAUCCAUAAAUCCU
rnacentral:rRNA from 1 species